CGCCGGUCAGCCAAGAAGGUGGAAGAACGCAUCGCGAAAUAAACGGAACCCAGCGGAGUUGUAAAGAUUGGAUCUUGUUAAAUUCACGCUACUGGAUCGGCGACAAUUAUGCUUAUCACGCGAAAUAUUAUAUUAAAUAGGUUGGGUAAAAGGAAAUCCAUUAAUUUCUCGGCUGAUGGCUGUAGUGACAAGCUGACCUUUCACACUAAAAAAAAAUGUUUUGCUUUUUUUUUGUUGCUUCCAUUCCGUUGUGCGUUACAGGGUGUUAACAAUGGAAGUCCAGGUUAAGAAAUAGAUGCCAUGAAUGGUGGUACACAAAAAUAGUAAAAAGUGUAAAAAGUAGUAGUAGGCGGUCACAUAACAACUGAAAAUGUAAUCGGCAAGAUGAUAAGUAGCGAAGAAACGUUGGAGAUCAUCAGUGUUUUCGCUGUAAGAAUUCUCCGUAUAAUAAAGCGGCACUUGGGCGCAGGCACAUAGGCCACAUAGACCUUUGUAAUGAGGAAGAUGCAAUGCCGCUAAGAAGUAAUGCGAAAGCGGUUCCAGGGUGGGUGAUGGUUCCAAACGAGGAGCAGUUUUUUACUCCUCGGCCAUACCAUUACUGCGACAACAGCUUUGAUGAUGCAUUAGGCAUUUCAAACAACCUCAUCCGCAAAAAAAAAAACAAAAAACAAAUUUCGUUGUUUCAUUUUCAUUUAAAACU